UACAGAGGGUGCAAGCGUUAAUCGGAUUUAUUGGGCGUAAAGAGCUCGUAGGCGGCCUGUUGCGUCGAUUGUGAAAACCCGGAGCUCAACUCCGGGCCUGCAGUCGAUACGGGCAGGCUAGAGGCAGGUAGGGGAGAGUGGAAUUCCUGGUGUAGCGGUGGAAUGCGCAGAUAUCAGGAGGAACACCGGUGGCGAAGGCGGCUCUCUGGGCCUGACCUGACGCUGAGGAGCGAAAGCGUGGGGAGCGAACAGG
rnacentral:rRNA from 1 species